rnacentral:rRNA from 1 species
UACGGAGGGUGCAAGCGUUAUCCGGAAUCAUUGGGUUUAAAGGGUCCGCAGGCGGUCAAUUAAGUCAGAGGUGAAAUCCCGUCGCUCAACGACGGAACUGCCUUUGAUACUGGUUGACUUGAGUUAUACGGAAGUAGAUAGAAUGUGUAGUGUAGCGGUGAAAUGCAUAGAUAUUACACAGAAUACCGAUUGCGAAGGCAGUCUACUACGUAUAUACUGACGCUCAUGGACGAAAGCGUGGGGAGCGAACAGGAUUAGAUACCCUAGUAGUCC